rnacentral:tRNA from 1 species
GGAGUUGUAGCUCAGUGGUAGAGUACUCGCCUAACAUGUGUCAGGCACUGGGUUUGAUCCUCAGCACCA